rnacentral:rRNA from 1 species
CCGGAGCUAAUACGGAUAAUAUUUGAACCGCAUGGUUCAAAAGUGAAAGACGGUCUUGCUGUCACUUAUAGAUGGAUCCGCGCUGCAUUAGCUAGUUGGUAAGGUAACGGCUUACCAAGGCAACGAUGCAUAGCCGACCUGAGAGGGUGAUCGGCCACACUGGAACUGAGACACGGUCCAGACUCCUACGGGAGGCAGCAGCU